UCCGCUCCCCGGGCAGUCGCUGGUUUUCUUCUUCGGAAGGGGACUGGAGGAAAGUCCGGACACUACAGAGCAGUGUGCCUUAUGAAAAUGAGGGACGGUGAUUCGCGAGGAUCAUCGGACAGAUAGUGCCGCAGAAAACAGACCGCCUUCUUCGGGGGGUAAGGGUGAAAUGGUGGGGUAAGAGCCCACCGCGCCGAGGGUGACCGAGGUGGCUGGGUAAACCUCUCACAGUGCAAGACAGAACAGGGGAAGGGCUGCUCGUCCGUUUGAUCCCCGGGUAAUAGUCGCAAAGAUAAAUGACUGCUGAAGUCCACAUAGGGUGGAUGGAACAGAAUCCGGCUUACAGGGGAGCGGCCUCU
rfam:Verrucomicrobiaceae bacterium TMED86 MHASMcontig_163036, whole genome shotgun sequence.